rnacentral:rRNA from 1 species
UACAGAGGUCUCAAGCGUUGUUCGGAUUCAUUGGGCGUAAAGGGUGCGUAGGCGGCGCGGUAAGUCGGGUGUGAAAUCUUGGAGCUUAACUCCGAAACUGCAUUCGAUACUGCCGUGCUUGAGGACUGGAGAGGAGACUGGAAUUUACGGUGUAGCGGUGAAAUGCGUAGAUAUCGAGAGGAACACCUGCGGCGAAGGCGGGUUGCUGGGCUGACACUGACGCUGAAGCGCGAAAGCUAGGGGAGCGAACGGG